rnacentral:rRNA from 1 species
UUAAGCGACUAAGCGUACACGGUGGAUGCCCUGGCAGUCAGAGGCGAUGAAGGACGUGCUAAUCUGCGAUAAGCGUCGGUGAGGUGAUAUGAACCGUUAUAACCGGCGAUUUCCGAAUGGGGAAACCCAGUGUGUUUCGACACACUAUCAUUAACUGAAUCCAUAGGUUAAUGAGGCGAACCGGGGGAACUGAAACAUCUAAGUACCCCGAGGAAAAGAAAUCAACCGAGAUUCCCCCAGUAGCGGCGAGCGAACGGGGAGGAGCCCAGAGCCUGAAUCAGUGUGUGUGUUAGUGGAAGCGUCUGGAAAGGCGCGCGAUACAGGGUGACAGCCCCGUACACAAAAAUGCACAUAUUGUGAGCUCGAUGAGUAGGGCGGGACACGUGGUAUCCUGUCUGAAUAUGGGGGGACCAUCCUCCAAGGCUAAAUACUCCUGACUGACCGAUAGUGAACCAGUACCGUGAGGGAAAGGCGAAAAGAACCCCGGCGAGGGGAGUGAAAAAGAACCUGAAACCGUGUACGUACAAGCAGUGGGAGCCUCUUAAUGGGGUGACUGCGUACCUUUUGUAUAAUGGGUCAGCGACUUAUAUUCUGUAGCAAGGUUAACCGAAUAGGGGAGCCGAAGGGAAACCGAGUCUUAACUGGGCGUUAAGUUGCAGGGUAUAGACCCGAAACCCGGUGAUCUAGCCAUGGGCAGGUUGAAGGUUGGGUAACACUAACUGGAGGACCGAACCGACUAAUGUUGAAAAAUUAGCGGAUGACUUGUGGCUGGGGGUGAAAGGCCAAUCAAACCGGGAGAUAGCUGGUUCUCCCCGAAAGCUAUUUAGGUAGCGCCUCGUGAAUUCAUCUCCGGGGGUAGAGCACUGUUUCGGCAAGGGGGUCAUCCCGACUUACCAACCCGAUGCAAACUGCGAAUACCGGAGAAUGUUAUCACGGGAGACACACGGCGGGUGCUAACGUCCGUCGUGAAGAGGGAAACAACCCAGACCGCCAGCUAAGGUCCCAAAGUCAUGGUUAAGUGGGAAACGAUGUGGGAAGGCCCAGACAGCCAGGAUGUUGGCUUAGAAGCAGCCAUCAUUUAAAGAAAGCGUAAUAGCUCACUGGUCGAGUCGGCCUGCGCGGAAGAUGUAACGGGGCUAAACCAUGCACCGAAGCUGCGGCAGCGACACUAUGUGUUGUUGGGUAGGGGAGCGUUCUGUAAGCCUGUGAAGGUGGCCUGUGAGGGUUGCUGGAGGUAUCAGAAGUGCGAAUGCUGACAUAAGUAACGAUAAAGCGGGUGAAAAGCCCGCUCGCCGGAAGACCAAGGGUUCCUGUCCAACGUUAAUCGGGGCAGGGUGAGUCGACCCCUAAGGCGAGGCCGAAAGGCGUAGUCGAUGGGAAACAGGUUAAUAUUCCUGUACUUGGUGUUACUGCGAAGGGGGGACGGAGAAGGCUAUGUUGGCCGGGCGACGGUUGUCCCGGUUUAAGCGUGUAGGCUGGUUUUCCAGGCAAAUCCGGAAAACCAAGGCUGAGGCGUGAUGACGAGGCACUACGGUGCUGAAGCGACAAAUGCCCUGCUUCCAGGAAAAGCCUCUAAGCAUCAGGUAACAUCAAAUCGUACCCCAAACCGACACAGGUGGUCAGGUAGAGAAUACCAAGGCGCUUGAGAGAACUCGGGUGAAGGAACUAGGCAAAAUGGUGCCGUAACUUCGGGAGAAGGCACGCUGAUAUGUAGGUGAAGCGACUUGCUCGUGGAGCUGAAAUCAGUCGAAGAUACCAGCUGGCUGCAACUGUUUAUUAAAAACACAGCACUGUGCAAACACGAAAGUGGACGUAUACGGUGUGACGCCUGCCCGGUGCCGGAAGGUUAAUUGAUGGGGUUAGCGGUAACGCGAAGCUCUUGAUCGAAGCCCCGGUAAACGGCGGCCGUAACUAUAACGGUCCUAAGGUAGCGAAAUUCCUUGUCGGGUAAGUUCCGACCUGCACGAAUGGCGUAAUGAUGGCCAGGCUGUCUCCACCCGAGACUCAGUGAAAUUGAACUCGCUGUGAAGAUGCAGUGUACCCGCGGCAAGACGGAAAGACCCCGUGAACCUUUACUAUAGCUUGACACUGAACAUUGAGCCUUGAUGUGUAGGAUAGGUGGGAGGCUUUGAAGUGUGGACGCCAGUCUGCAUGGAGCCGGCCUUGAAAUACCACCCUUUAAUGUUUGAUGUUCUAACGU